rfam:Triticum aestivum genome assembly, contig: Triticum_aestivum_CS42_TGACv1_scaffold_578559_7BL
AAAGUACUCCCUCCGUUCCAAAAUUCUUGUCUUCAAUUUGUCUAAAUGCGGAUGUAUUUAGUCACGUUUUAGUGUUAGAUACUUUCUAUCUUGAUGAAUCUAAGACGAGAAUUUUGGGACGGAGGGAGUACAUG